rnacentral:rRNA from 1 species
CAGUCGCCGCGGGAAUACGAAGGGGGCUAGCGUUGUUCGGAAUUACUGGGCGUAAAGCGCACGUAGGCGGAUCGAUCAGUCAGGGGUGAAAUCCCAGAGCUCAACCCUGGAACUGCCUUUGAUACUGUCGAUCUGGAGUAUGGAAGAGGUGAGUGGAAUUCCGAGUGUAGAGGUGAAAUUCGUAGAUAUUCGGAGGAAUACCAGUGGCGAAGGCGGCUCACUGGUCCAUUACUGACGCUGAGGUGCGAAAGCGUGGGGAGCAAACAGGAUUAGAUACCCCUGUAGUCCCUGUCUCUUAUAC